GACGAACGCUGGCGGCGUGCUUAACACAUGCAAGUCGAACGGAAAGGCCCUGCUUUUGUGGGGUGCUCGAGUGGCGAACGGGUGAGUAACACGUGAGUAACCUGCCCUUGACUUUGGGAUAACUUCAGGAAACUGGGGCUAAUACCGGAUAGGAGCUCCUGCUGCAUGGUGGGGGUUGGAAAGUUUCGGCGGUUGGGGAUGGACUCGCGGCUUAUCAGCUUGUUGGUGGGGUAGUGGCUUACCAAGGCUUUGACGGGUAGCCGGCCUGAGAGGGUGACCGGCCACAUUGGGACUGAGAUACGGCCCAGACUCCUACGGGAGGCAGCAGUGGGGAAUAUUGCACAAUGGGCGGAAGCCUGAUGCAGCAACGCCGCGUGCGGGAUGACGGCCUUCGGGUUGUAAACCGCUUUCGCCUGUGACGAAGCGUGAGUGACGGUAAUGGAUAAAGAAGCACCGGCUAACUACGCG
rnacentral:rRNA from 1 species